UGCGACGUCACUGGUAUCAAGCUGUAUCGGACUUUGCCUUUCCCUUGGACAACAUCGGUGGCGUGGAGAGGGAAGGCAGGUAUGCAUGGGCCACUGUUGGUCUUUCAUAAACAAUCUUGCUUGGACUUGUACCUCGCAUGGUGGUGGUGGUGGGAACUUUCUAAGUGCAAUCCUAUGGUCAUUCAUGACCGAAGGGGAUCUUUAUACAUGCAUGCAUUCAUACAUACAUCUUGUAUAAAAUGCCAAAGUGUUCAAUAUGCAUUUGUAGUAAGUCGUUUACCUUGUUCAGUCGCGACCCUUUAAACUAAACGUGAAUAGCUAUUUGAUAAACGUAAACUGACUUAAAACCAGAAGGUGAUGUCUCAGCAUAAUCGCAGUCCAAAACUGAAACAAGUAAAAGUAUGUAUCCGUACACAAUACAGAAGAUUGGGCGAGGAAAUAGUUGAGGUAAGGAAGAGAAAACGCAGUGCAUCAAAGAAAGAUUUAAGAGAAAAGAGCAAGAAAAUUUAGGGAACCAAUUUGUAAAUGCAUUCCAGAAAAAUCUAGGCAUACAUCAUUUCGAAUUAGAAGGAAAAUCGUUCAUUGCUACUAAAUGCACCUUAUUCUUCUAAUCGUGGUACCAAGCAUAGAGAUGAAUAGCUUCACAUAAGAUCUGUGGUAUAAGUCGAUACAACUGACCGAAAUGGUCCUUAGGGAAAUCUGAAGUAUUGAGAUAGUGGAUCAUGUGUUUGAAGAAUCCCCAGUCUUCUGAAGAAGUACAACUGCCAAGAUUGUUUGAAGACCUCUGAGACUGGUGUGAAGAAAGGAAGAGAACUCUUCAUGCCAGAGACCAGUUCUGAAUGAUUACAACAGAGAGGACUCUGCUAAAGUUACCCAAAAGUUUGGCAAAACGUUUCAAAUAGGUGAUAGAAAAUGUCAAAACUUCUCGAUAUACUAUAUAAAGACCAUUCAAAUGUAACAAACCCAUUUAGUUUUGAAUAGAAAUUCCAACAAUAACAUUGUAUGAUAUAUGGAGCAUUAACACAAUAUUACAAGGUUUUAGAGUAGGUACAGGAGUCGAUUCAGUUAGUACAGAUACUUUGAAUUUAAUCCAAUAAGCCCUCUUCUCACAAAUAAGAACCAAGCGAUAAUAAUUACAAUCUGUGUUUAUUGAUGUUAAAGCUAUACACGGAAUUGAAACUUAUUGCAAACGACGGAAUAAAUACGUUUGAGAAGUAAGCACUCUUUGACAUGCUAAGCUAAAAAAUACCAUGGAAAGAACAACAAUAAAUAUUAAUUUGAACA
rnacentral:lncRNA from 1 species